rnacentral:misc_RNA from 1 species
AAGUCGUAACAAGGUUUCCGUAGGUGAACCUGCGGAAGGAUCAUUACCGAGAUAGGGUGCCGGCCUAACCCCCCGGGCCCCGACCCUCCAACCCAUUGUCUACAAUACCUUUGUUGCCUCGGCGGGUCGUCGAGCGCCUAGUGAUAGGCCUCGCCGUGGCUCCUAGGAGCCUCGUGCCCCCGCCGAGGCCGAAAUAAACCACUUUGAAACCAGCCCUCUGAGUGAAAUUAUAAUACUUCAAAA